rnacentral:rRNA from 1 species
CCUACGGGUGGCAGCAGUGGGGAAUAUUGGGCAAUGGGCGCAAGCCUGACCCAGCAACGCCGCGUGAAGGAAGAAGGCUUUCGGGUUGUAAACUUCUUUUAUCAGGGACGAGGAAAGUGAGGUUACUUGAUGAUUAAGCCACGGCUAACUACGUGCCAGCAGCCGGGGUAAUACGUAGGAGGCAAGCGUUAUCCGGAUUUACUGGGUGUAAGGGGCGGGAAGGCGGGAGUACAAGUCAGAUGUGAAAACUAGGGGCUCAACCUCUAACCUGCAUUUGAAACUGUUCUUCUUGAGUGCCGGAGAGGGCAUCGGAAUUCCGUGUGUAGCGGUGAAAUGCGUAGAUAUACGGAGGAACACCAGUGGCGAAGGCGGAUGGCUGGACAGGAACUGACGCUGAGGCGCGAAAGCGUGGGGAGCAAACAGGAUUAGAUACCCUUGUAGUC